rnacentral:rRNA from 1 species
UACGUAGGGUGCGAGCGUUAAUCGGAAUUACUGGGCGUAAAGCGUGCGCAGGCGGUUUUGUAAGCCAGAUGUGAAAUCCCCGGGCUUAACCUGGGAAUGGCAUUUGGGACUGCAAGGCUGGAGUGCGGCAGAGGAGACUGGAAUUCCUGGUGUAGCAGUGAAAUGCGUAGAUAUCAGGAGGAAUACCGAUGGCGAAGGCAGGUCUCUGGGCUGACACUGACGCUCAUGCACGAAAGCGUGGGGAGCAAACAGGAU